AUUGAACGCUGGCGGAAUGCUUUACACAUGCAAGUCGAACGGCAGCACGGACUUCGGUCUGGUGGCGAGUGGCGAACGGGUGAGUAAUACAUCGGAACGUGCCCAAUCGUGGGGGAUAACGUAGCGAAAGCUACGCUAAUACCGCAUACGAUCUAAGGAUGAAAGCGGGGGAUCGCAAGACCUCGCGCGAAUGGAGCGGCCGAUGGCAGAUUAGGUAGUUGGUAGGGUAAAGGCCUACCAAGCCGACGAUCUGUAGCUGGUCUGAGAGGAUGAUCAGCCACACUGGGACUGAGACACGGCUCAGACUCCUACGGGAGGCAGCAGUGGGGAAUUUUGGACAAUGGACGCAAGUCUGAUCCAGCCAUUCCGCGUGCAGGAUGAAGGCCCUCGGGUUGUAAACUGCUUUUGUACAGAACGAAAAGGCUCUGGUUAAUACCUGGGGCUCAUGACGGUACUGUAAGAAUAAGCACCGGCUAACUACGUGCCAGCCGCCGCCGUAA
rnacentral:rRNA from 1 species